GGAUGCCCUCACAAACCACGAGUUGGGUCGUGACAACUUGAUAUCAGAGCCUUAGGUUACCGGUCUUACAAGUAUAAGAGCAAUGUCUAGUAGAGCCUUGCGGAUUGAUGGUGAGGACACGUGUUGCAAUUGCCAGAGAUGAUGUACCCGCACCUGCUGUUGGGGCCGAGGCACAAAGUCGUGGAUGAGCCAGAGGCUAUGGUAAAGGUAGAGGUCGUGGGGCAGCACCGGCCCGAGGUAAUGGAGCAAUUUUAGGAUGAAAACUGUUGAAGUGCAGAAUUUGGCCUUGAUGACAAAAUAUUGGCCGUAUUCCUUGGGCGUAAUUAAAGUUAAGCUGAAACAGAAAGGCAUGCUGAGAAGAUGUUAAAAUACGAACAACUUUUACGGACCGUAUUCCACUUUACGGUACGUAUUUCAAAGCGUAUUUAACAUUAAGACACUUGGCAGAAAGUUGAGAUUUUACAAGUUGAAAUAUGACCAAGCAGAAUACGGACCGUAAAUCAAAAUACAGUCCACAAUCUAUGAUGUUGCAGUUGCCCAGAUUUUGAAGGAAGACCAAGGCGUAAACUAGUUUACGGUCCGUAAUGUGAAAUACGGACCGUAUUUUAUGUCGUCGGGGACCAAAGUGUAAUUAUGUAACUUUUAUGUUUCAAAACCUAUAAAUAGCCCAAUGUAGGGUUUUAUUUCCUACCAGUUAUUAUUUUCUUGACUUUUGGCUUAGAACAUUAAUACUCUCUUGACUUUGGAGAUUCAAAACAUCAAUUCAAGUAUUAUCAAUUCCUCUUUU